rnacentral:rRNA from 1 species
UACAGAGGCCUCAAGCGUUAGGCGGAAUCACUGGGCUUAAAGCGUGUGUAGGCGGAUCGUUAAGUGUCUUGUGAAAUCCCACGGCUCACCCGUGGAACUGCUGGGCAUACUGGCGAUCUUGGGCCAACUAGGGGCAGCCGGAACAAGCGGUGGAGCGGUGAAAUGCGUAGAUAUCGCUUGGAACGCCGAAGGUGAAAACAGGCUGCUGGGGUUGCGCAGACGCUGAGACACGAAAGCCAGGGGAGCAAACGGG